AUUGAACGCUGGCGGCAGGCCUAACACAUGCAAGUCGAGCGAGCGGCGGACGGUUGAGUAAUGUCUGGGAAACUGCCGGAUGGAGGGGGAUAACUACUGGAAACGGUAGCUAAUACCGCAUACCAUCAGAUUUGCCCAGAUGGGAUUAGAUAGUAGGUGGGGUAACGGCUCACCUAGGCGACGAUCCCUAGCUGGUCUGAGAGGAUGACCCGCCACACUGGAAGUGAGACACGUUCCAGACUCCUACGGGAGGCAGCAGUGGGGAAUAUUGCACAAUGGGCGAAAGCCUGAUGCAGCCAUGCCGCGGGUGUGAAGAAGGCCGUCGGGUUGUAAAGCACUUUCAGCGGGGAGGCGUUACCCGCAGAAGAAGCACCGGCUAACUCCGUGCAAGCCGCCGCGGUAAUUC
rnacentral:rRNA from 1 species